GAUGAACGCUAGCGGCAGGCUUAACACAUGCAAGUCGAGGGGUAACAUUAGUGCUUGCACUAGAUGACGACCGGCGCACGGGUGCGUAACGCGUAUAGAACCUACCUUUUACAGGAGAAUACCCCAGAGAAAUUUGGAAUAAUGCUCCAUAGUAUUAUUGAACGGCAUCGUUUAAUAAUUAAACAUUUAUGGGUAAAAGAUGGCUAUGCGUUCUAUUAGCUAGAUGGUAAGGUAACGGCUUACCAUGGCAACGAUAGAUAGGGGUCCUGAGAGGGAGAUCCCCCACACUGGUACUGAGACAGGGACCAGACUCCUACGGGAGGCAGCAGUGAGGAAUAUUGGACAAUGGAGGCAACUCUGAUCCAGCCAUGCCGCGUGCAGGAAGACGGUCCUAUGGAUUGUAAACUGCUUUUAUACAGGAAGAAACACUCCCUCGUGAGGGAGCUUGACGGUACUGUAUGAAUAAGCACCGGCUAACUCCGUGCCAGCAGCCGCGGUAAUACGGAGGGUGCAAGCGUUAUCCGGAAUCAUUGGGUUUAAAGGGUCCGUAGGCGGGCUAAUAAGUCAGGGGUGAAAUCCAACAGCUUAACUGUUGAACUGCCUUUGAUACUGUUAGUCUUGAAUUAUAUGGAAGUAGAUAGAAUGUGUAGUGUAGCGGUGAAAUGCUUAGAGAUUACACAGAAUACCGAUUGCGAAGGCAGUCUACUACGUAU
rnacentral:rRNA from 1 species